rnacentral:sRNA from 1 species
AAUUAGCCCAGAUCGCAACGGUAUCCUUUUUUAUUGUAGGGAAUAGAGGUGGACAAAAAAGAUAGAGUGGAGAGCUGGAAAAAGC